UCCCUGGUGGUCCAGUUGUUAAGACUCUGUGCUUCCAAUGCAGGGGCCAUGGGUUCAACCCCUGCUCGGGGAA
rnacentral:tRNA from 1 species